UGAGGAUUCCUGGUAAAUUUGUGCAUGGAGACAGAAGCUCUCAAUCGGACAAAGGGAUGUGAAAAUGGAAGAAGCAGUAUAGAGACAUUGGGAUCAUUCUCAAAGUUUUGUUGCAGUUAUCCCUCUGGAUCUACCUACAGAUAACCACAGAAAUUACAUGAAUGGAAACACAGAAGCAUGCCUCAGAAUUUCAAAAAAAAUCAAAAUACAUAAGCUGGUACAACCACUUUG
rnacentral:lncRNA from 1 species